rnacentral:rRNA from 1 species
CCUACGGGGCGCAGCAGUGGGGAAUAUUGCACAAUGGGGGAAACCCUGAUGCAGCAACGCCGCGUGAGUGAGGAAGUAUUUCGGUAUGUAAAGCUCUAUCAGCAGGGAAUAGAAAAGAAGGUACCUGAAAAAGAAGCCCCGGCUAACUACGUGCCAGCAGCCGCGGUAAUACGUAGGGGGCAAGCGUUAUCCGGAUUUACUGGGUGUAAAGGGAGCGUAGACGGAAAGGCAAGUCAGAAGUGAAAGCCCAAGGCUCAACCAUG